UAGACAGAUGCUUGUUGGUUUAAGCGCUUAGCUGUUAACUAAUAUUUUGUAGGAUCAAAGCCUACCUGUCUAG
rnacentral:tRNA from 1 species